rnacentral:hammerhead_ribozyme from 1 species
AUCUAGCUUAAGAGUCCCAAAUAAGACGAAACGUAAGUCCUGCAU